rnacentral:sRNA from 1 species
GCGGCGAGGAGGGGAAUUUCCUUGUGCCUCCAUUCCCGGGAGGGGGGAGCGGCGUUGGAGGCCACCGUUUCCAGGAACAUAUUGGGAAUAUAUUUGAGGUGUGGGAAUAAGUAUCUUUGGAAGACCAGGCACUUUAUGCAGUGUUGAGCUCAGGAGGCAGUGAGUGUUAAG